rnacentral:rRNA from 1 species
CCCUUAGAUGUUCUGGGAUGCACGCGCGUUACACUGAUUCGUUCAACGAGUUUAUGACCUUGCCUGAUGAGGUGGGGAAUCUUUUCAAAUCGCAUCGUGAUGGGGAUAGAGUAUUGUAACUGUUAGUCUUCAACGAGGAAUUCCUAGUAAGUACGUGUCAUCAGCUCGUACUGAUUAUGUCCCUGCCCUUUGUACACACCGCCCGUCGCACCUACCGAUUGAAUGGUCCGGUGAAAUCUUCGGAUCUGAGAGAUGUCUGAUUAAUUUCGGACGCCUUUUGGAAAAGUUGUUUAAACCUUACCAUUUAGAGGAAGGUGAAGUCGUAACA